CUGGGCCCCGUUGCAUAAAACUUUUGCCAGACUUAUUUUUGCCAUAGUUUUUCUAUGGCAAAAACCUUAGUUUUUUGCCAGAGUUUCAAAUUCGGUCAAAAUUUCAUGGCAAAAAAACUCUGGCAAACUUUUGCCAGAGUUUUUUAAUUUGCCAGAGUUUUUUAAGACUGAAUAAACUUGGACGAGGAUGCACGCCGAUAUCAGCCGAUAUCACGAUCGGUAUCUGCGGCUGCUGAAAAAAAUCUUGGAGACUCCACAGAACCUUAAAUUGUUGAGGUAUAUACACAGGAGCAACUCACGUGCAUGUGUGACUUUUUGAGAAGAAACCACGCAAGACUGUUGGUUAGCAAUCACCAUGUAAAAGGGUUUGCAGAAACCAGACAGAGAGCCUGGGUGGAGAUGCUAUUGGCUGCCUAGGUCGGACUGCCUCCAAUCUGAGGUGAUCUUGGAGUGAUCUAACAUUAGAAUGAAUGGUUACGCUAGGAAUCAGACAAAGACUGGAGGUGAACAGUUUGGUAAAGUGAAGUCAAAAUGGAAAUCGUGCUGGCAGUCAUGAGGAACAAGGCCAAGCAUUGGGUCCAUCCAUGGCCAGGAGACAGAGACUGAGACAUCUGAGCAACUGCUUUCACAUAAGGCAGCCUGCUUCUGGACAUGGGGAAGCCAGAGAAAGAGAAGGAGGUUGAGGGGGAGCCUCAAGCUGUUCCCGAGGCACCAUUGACAUCCAGGGUAGAUGGGAUCUACCGGUAGUUGAUUGUGUAGGACACCAAGAUGAAACCCAGCAUAAGAGAAGAAAGAGAAGGUGCCCUUCCUGUUUUGACCAGCACACCGAGUACCAGGAGCAUGGAUCUGCUGCAAGUUCAACAGGAGACACUCAGAAUGCAGCAAGCUAUGCUGCAAAUAUUUUGAAUAAAAUUUUAAAAUAAAAUUUUAAAUUAAAAUUAUCCACAAUUGUUUGCAGCAGUUUGUUAAUGGAAAUCAGAAGUAAUGUUGAACAAUUCAACUUCAUUUUUUUUUGUUCGUAUUUUACUACUGAUGUCCAUUAACAUCUACAAUAAAUAUUACCCGUGUUCUGAGCAAAUCUUGCUGAAUUUUAAAGAAGGCAUCAACUACUUAUUGGUGCAUAUACUCCACCUUUUUUUUAUGAUGUUCCCUUGAUUUCCUGCUGAAAAGCUCAAUGCAGCUUUAACUUAAGCAAAAUAUGAACAAAAAUCUUUUUUUGUAGAAAUCCAUACAGCAAUAUCUAUAUUACGGAGAUUGGGCAAGAUUGUUUCAUUGACAGUUACUAAUUAAAAUAAUUAAUUUCAUGUUAUUUAUGAUAGUGUCUCGAACAAUUUCCAUUGAAAAUGAAAUAAAUGAAAUGUAUGAGAAAUUUUAAGAACAAUAUUCAUCAAAAAGAAUUGUUUGCUGCUGCUAUUGGGUUUUUUUUAAGAAGCAAAUUUUACAUUUUAAAAUAAACCAGGCUAUGUUGGGUUUUAUGAAUUCAUCUUUUCUGUCAACUUUAAAAAUAGUAGCUUCAAUGCCACAUACAAUGUAUAUUCUUCCGGAAUUAAUAUUGAAAUUAUUUAUUAGAUGUUUUCAUCAUCUGUAGAAUUUUUAGUAAAACUUGAACUGCAGAAACACUUCAAAAGAAGAAAUGAGUAGACUGAAAACCUGUUGAAUAUUCUUUUUAGAAAAUGAAGUAAAAUCACCUUGAACUUUGGAAAUUUCCAAAAGCAUAUGUUUGAGCAAGUACUAUGAAAAUGAGUUUUGCCUAGGUCACAUCACGGCGAGUAGUAAUAAGCCGUUUUAUGUAUUACUAUACAAACCACCUACAUGAAGCUGGUACAAGGAUGAAUAAAAUGGCUGAUUUCGACUAGCCGUAAGGCCACCGGCCGGCAAAUGUGACCUAGGCAUAAAUUGCUGAUGUCAUUGCCUCAUAAUUUUAUACAAAAUAAUGGCAAAGACUACAUCCUUUAGGAUUGAGAAAGUUAAACUUGAACUUUAUUCUCAUCUCAGUAGAUAGAAGAUAAUGUUAUUCAUUCAAUACUUAAAUAAAAUUUGAACAAGUGCCUUGCAAUGCAACAUAAAAAUUAAGGUUCUGAAAUCUUAAUGGGAAUCCCUGUGCAAGAACAGUUUUAAAGUUUAUUUAUACAUGUUCAUCUUGCAAGUCUGUUAUAUUUUCUGUCAGCAUUGUUUGUGGAUCCCACACUGGUGUCAUAAGCCAUGGUUCUUAUAUAUCCUGCAUUGCCCAACAGGAUGCCUUGCAAUUCGCCAUCUGCAAAAGGGUAUCCAAUGGCACUGUUCUGUUGAUUUAAAAGGAAAGGGACCUUGUCAACAUUCAAUCACAUCUUUCAAUAUGCAUACAAUGGUAUGGGAUACUGUUAUCAUUGAAAUUAAAAUAUGAAUUGAUAAGAAUUUUUUUCAGUUAAAUUCAAACUAUUAUUAUUGUUCAUAAUGAGUUCUUUAGACUGUCACUCUGAUUGUUCUUGAUAAGUGAUUGCAAAUAAAAUUAUUUCAAAUGUAUAAUUCUAUGAGAAAUGAAUUGUUUAAAGGAGGAUGAAUUGCGAGAGAAGUGAUAGAAAAAGAAAUAAAGUAUUGAGAAAGAGACAUCUGAGUUGUGUGACUGUAAUUUAAUUGAGAGAAGAAAACAAUUCUUAAUAAGUGAUAAGUGUUCCUUAUUCUCAAUUGCUAAUUAGAUUAUUUUAAACAUAUGAUAAUUGAGAAUUGUUUAAAAAAGGAGAAAGGUAGAGAGAAGAGGAAGAAAAGGAAUUAUUAAGAGAGAGACGUCUGAGUUGUGUAAUAUUUUAAUUGACAGUAGAACAAAAAUUUAACCUUCCGGUUGGCCUCUGACUAAAAAAAUAAAAUUCACCAUCCCUGUUUGCCCAUAAAGGAAAAUAUUUUUUAUUUUUGCAUAAAAAUGUUACCAAGAAAAACAUCAAGUCUUAAUCCCCCCCCCCCCCCGUAUAUUGCCCCACCUUCAACACUAUUCAACACUAUGGUCUGACUGAAGUAUAAUGGGGCAUAAAAAGUAACAAGCAUGGUGCUGUUAAUGAUUUAUGUAUCUAUAUUCUAUGUUUUAUGAAAUUACUAAUUUUGAUAUUUUGGAAAGAUUUUUAACAUUGCCAAGAAAGCACCAACAACAAAGGUACCUUUUGAAAUAUUAUGGGCAAUGUGAUACAAAAUGUUUUCCUCCACUUUAUUUAAAAAUAUGUUUUGAAUAAUGGCAUUGAGGGGGGGGAAGUGUGAUUGAAUUUAAUUUAAUUAUUUGUACCUUGUAAAUACAUUGUGUAGGCCUAGGCUGUUUAUCCCCCCCCCCCUCUUCCAGAAUACUCCGCUCUUGCUAUCUCUCUCUUCCCCUGUCAUUGCAUGUAAGUUGUUGGACAGUUUGGUCCCAUCAUAUCAUUAAUUUAGUUUUAUUCCCAGGGUUUUAUAAAGCAACCACAAAUCUAGAAAA